rnacentral:rRNA from 1 species
ACGCUCGACACCUACGGGAGGCAGCAGUGGGGAAUAUUGGGCAAUGGGGGCAACCCUGACCCAGCAACGCCGCGUGAAGGAAGAAGGCUUUCGGGUUGUAAACUUCUUUGACAAGGGACGAAAUAAAUGACGGUACCUUGAAAACAAGCCACGGCUAACUACGUGCCACAGCCGCGGUAAUCUGAGCGGGCUGGCAAGGC